GGUAGCGCUUCCGGAUCUGGUGACUGGCCCGGUCUUCAAAACCGGUGGCGGGCGCUGAGAGGCGUCCUCGGUGGGUUCGAUUCCCAUGCGCUACCGCCA
rnacentral:tRNA from 1 species